CCCCUGGCUCAGACAAGGGAGGUGGUGGACUGGCCAUGGCAGCUGUCCAGACUUGAUAUCACCCUGAACGUCCCCAAACCUCCCUCCCUCCACUCUUGCUUCGCCCUGACCAGAGAUGGAGGGUGGUGCUGGGAAUAGGAGGUAGGUGAGUGCCUGUCCUGGCCAACAGCAGAGGCCCUCGAGGGAAACUGCACCGCAGGUGUCACUCUAGAGCCCACAGCGGGGGCUGUCAACCUGGAGUGUGCAGCAGAAUCGCCUACAGCCCUCUGGCCCAGCCCCAGUGACUCUGGGUGAGUGGGUCUGGGGUGCAUUUCAAACAAGUUUCCAGGCGCUGCUGCCGCCAGUCCUAUCUGGAGACGACUCUCUGAGAAGCACAAGGUGGCCAGAGGGACAGGAGUGUCCUCAGACCGCCUCUCCCAGAGAGUGGGCCUCCUCAGUCCGCACCCCAGACAGGAUAUGCCAGCCUUGAAGCCUCUGUGGACAUCUCCAUGCUCAGGGGCGAUGCCCGGCCUCUGCCAACCACGCCAGCUUAGAUGAAGUCCAGGCACCUCCCUCAGUUCACCGUGUGCCCCUGAGCGAGUCUCUCGCCCACUCUGAGCCUCAGUUUCCUUAUCUGCACAGUGAGGAGGGGAGCAAGGCCACGUGCAGCUAUUUGAGCAGGUGAGAGGGAAGCGCUGGGCACACAGAGGCUGUUGAGAUGAGUGCUCUUGUUUGUUUGUUUGUUUGCUUGUUUGUUUGUUUUUGAGACAGAGUCUCGCUCUGUUGCCAGGCUGGAGUGCAAAGGUGUGACCUCGGCUCACUGCAACCUCCGCCUCUCAAGUUCCAGCAAUUCUCCUGCCUCAGCCUCCCGAGUAGCUGGGAACUACAGGUGUGUGCCACCACGCCCAGCUAAUUUUUGAAUUUUUAGUAGAGACGGGGUUUCACCAUGUUGGCCAGGAUGGUCUCAAACUCCUGACCUCAGGUGAUCUGCCCACCUCAGCCUCCCAAAGUGCUGGGAUUACAGGCGUGAGCCACUGUGCCCGGCCUUUUUUAAAGGAAGUUUACGAAUUUGUGUUGGGCUGUAUCCAAAGUCAUCCUGAGCCCCGUUCGGCCGCGGCAGGUUGGACAGGCUUGAUGUGCAGUGUUUGCAGCCAUGACUGAAUCCUUAGUACCUCCUAACGGCCCUCUCCAUCUGCCCCUCCUUGAGUUCCUGGCCCAGCCUCCACACCCGCCCCACCCGGGCGUGAGUAAUUCCCUCAGGUCGUGCUGUGGGCUCUGGGAAGGGAAAUCCUAGAUCAGAGGCUCCAAAGGGCCUGGAUGGAGGCCCAGGAGCCCCGCUUUAUCCCCAAGGCAGUGAGGACCCAGGCAGGCUUCUGGGCAGGAGAGAAGCCUGCUUCGCCAGCCUCGGGAAAGAUGCCUCGGGCGGCCCAGGGAAGCUGGGCGAGGCCGCUGGGGAGGGGAGCGCAGUGGCACUCAGACGGGUUGCGCAGGCGGCGCUGGUCAGUGCCUCCAGCCUCUCACCUUGCGUCAUGUCAUCGGCUGCUGCCUGUUAGCACCACAGAAGGCUGUCUGUACGUUCUGUCCCCAGUGUGACUGCGGGCUGCACCCGCAACCUCCGUGAAGCCUCACGAGGAUGACAAUAGAGGCUCCUCUUCCCCUUUCGGGAGACUUUGUGACCUCCAGCUCCUCCUCCCCUUUCAGGGGAGGCACUGGAGGUCACGGAGGUCACAGAGUCAGUGGGUGAGCCCUCUCCCCGACCCACAGGGCGUCUCAGGUGGGCCCUGCUGGCUUCACUGCUCUUCAAUGCAGGGAACAUUCCUGGCUGCAGUGGGGCGUUGCCCUGAAGGACAUUUGCGAGGGGAUCAUGAGGGCAGGGCUUGUGGCCAGGGCUAGACCAGGGUGCCUAGAAGCAACAGGCAGCAGGCUCAGAAAGGACAGCGUAGGCCGGGCAGCGCCGCCAGCCCUGGGGCUGGGAGAGAACAGGCUGGCCCCACCCUCGGCUGGAAGGAAGAAGUGAAGGCCGCAGAGACUGGAACACAGAGCAGACAGCGUCGCUGACUCUUGGCUGUCUGGACAGGACAGUGACUUCUGGCCGGGGUCACUGCCCGGCGCCAUGCAGCAGGGAAGGAGCCAGGAGACCGACACCCUCUACUGUCUCCUCCCUCCCUCCCGGCCUCCAUCAGGACUUGCAGGAGCUGACACCAAGUGCAAACCAGACGACCCAGGCCGAUGGCGCCCACACAGGUGUUGUGGCUGUUGAGCUGAAGUCUCACCAUCAUAGCUUGUGUUGUAAAGCAAGGAGCAGCAAGCUACGGGUCUGCAGGCCAAAUUUAGCCUGCUGCUUGUUUUGUAAAUAAAGUUUUACCGGCACACAGUCAUGC
rnacentral:lncRNA from 1 species